UAGGGAAUCUUCCGCAAUGGGCGAAAGCCUGACGGAGCAACGCCGCGUGAGUGAUGAAGGUCUUCGGAUCGUAAAACUCUGUUAUUAGGGAAGAACAAAUGUGUAAGUAACUAUGCACGUCUUGACGGUACCUAAUCAGAAAGCCACGGCUAACUACGUGCCAGCAGCCGCGGUAAUACGUAGGUGGCAAGCGUUAUCCGGAAUUAUUGGGCGUAAAGCGCGCGUAGGCGGUUUUUUAAGUCUGAUGUGAAAGCCAACGGCUCAACCGUGGAGGGUCAUUGGAAACUGGAAAACUUGAGUGCAGAAGAGGAAAGUGGAAUUCCAUGUGUAGCGGUGAAAUGCGCAGAGAUAUGGAGGAACACCAGUGGAGAAGGCGACUUUCUGGUCUGUAACUGACGCUGAUGUGCGAAAGCGUGGGGAUCAAACAGG
rnacentral:rRNA from 1 species